rnacentral:rRNA from 1 species
GUCGAACGAAGCACCUUUUAAGAUUCUUCGGAUGAUUGAUUGGUGACUGAGUGGCGGACGGGUGAGUAACGCGUGGGUAACCUGCCCUGUACAGGGGGAUAACAGCUGGAAACGGCUGCUAAUACCGCAUAAGCGCACGAGGAGACAUCUCCUUGUGUGAAAAACUCCGGUGGUACAGGAUGGGCCCGCGUCUGAUUAGCUGGUUGGCAGGGUAACGGCCUACCAAGGCAACGAUCAGUAGCCGGUCUGAGAGGAUGAACGGCCACAUUGGAACUGAGACACGGUCCAAACUCCUACGGGAGGCAGCAGUGGGGAAUAUUGCACAAUGGGGGAAACCCUGAUGCAGCAACGCCGCGUGAGUGAAGAAGUAUUUCGGUAUGUAAAGCUCUAUCAGCAGGGAAGAUAAUGACGGUACCUGACUAAGAAGCUCCGGCUAAAUACGUGCCAGCAGCCGCGGUAAUACGUAUGGAGCAAGCGUUAUCCGGAUUUACUGGGUGUAAAGGGUGCGUAGGUGGCAGUGUAAGUCAGAUGUGAAAGGCCGGGGCUCAACCCCGGAGCUGCAUUUGAAACUGCAUAGCUAGAGUACAGGAGAGGCAGGCGGAAUUCCUAGUGUAGCGGUGAAAUGCGUAGAUAUUAGAGGAACACCAGUGGCGAAAGCGGCCUGCUGGACUGUUACUGACACUGAGCACGAAAGCGUGGGGAGCAAACAGAUUAGAUACCCUGGUAGUCCACGCCGUA